GUAUAAUUAGUUUAUAAAAACAUUUAGUUGCAAACUAAAAAAAACCUCUAAAAUGUAUUAUACU
rnacentral:tRNA from 1 species